rnacentral:rRNA from 1 species
AGUGAACGCUGGCGGUAGGCCUAACACAUGCAAGUCGAACGGCAGCACAGUAAGAGCUUGCCCUUACGGGUGGCGAGUGGCGGACGGGUGAGGAAUACAUAGGAAUCUACUUUUUCGUGGGGGAUAACGGAGGGAAACUUACGCUAAUACCGCAUACGACCUACGGGUGAAAGCAGGAGAUCUUCGGACCUUGCGCGAUUGAAUGAGCCGAUUUCGGAUUAGCUAGUUGGCGGGGUAAAGGCACACCAAGGCGACGAUCCGUAGCUGGUCUGAGGGGAUGAUCAGCCACACUGGAACUGAGACACGGUCCAGACUCCUACGGGAGGCAGCAGUGGGGAAUAUUGGACAAUGGGCGAAAGCCUGAUGCAGCAAUACCGCGUGGGUGAAGAAGGCCCUCGGGUCGUAAAGCCCUUUUGUUGGGAAAGAAAAGCAGCAGGUUAAUACCCCGCUGUUCUGACGGUACCCAAAGAAUAAGCACCGGCUAACUUCGUG